GGAGAUGUGGCUCAGGGGUUAAGAGCACUGACUGCUCUUCCAGAGGUUUUGGGUUCAAUUCCCAGCACCCA
rnacentral:tRNA from 1 species